AACGAACGCUGGCGGCAUGCCUAACACAUGCAAGUCGAACGAGACCUUCGGGUCUAGUGGCGCACGGGUGCGUAACGCGACGGAACCUGCCCUUAGGUUCGGAAUAACUCCCCGAAAGGGGUGCUAAUACCGGAUAAUGUCUCCGGACCAAAGAGUUAUCGCCUCCGGAUGGGCCCGCGUUGUAUUACCUAGUUGGUAGGGUAAAAGCCUACCAAGGCGACGAUCCAUAGCUGGUGUGAGAGGGUGCUCAGACACACUGGGACUGAGACGCGGCCCAGACUCCUGCGGGAGGCAGCAGUGCGGAAUAUUGGACACUGCACGAAAGCCUGAUCCAGCACUGCCGCGUGAGUGAUGAAGGCCUUAGGGUUGUAAAGCUCUUUUACCCGGGAUGAUAAUGACAGUACCGGGAGAAUAAGCUCCGGCUAACUCCGUG
rnacentral:rRNA from 1 species